rnacentral:rRNA from 1 species
UACGUAGGUGGCAAGCGUUAUCCGGAAUUACUGGGCGUAGAGCGCACGCAGGCGGUCUUUUAAGUUUGACGUGAAAGCUCCCGGCUUAACUGGGAGAGGUCGUUGAAGACUGGAAGACUUGAGGCAAUGAGAGGGGUGUAGAAUUCCCGGUGUAGUGGUGGAAUGCGUAGAUAUCGGGGGGAAUACCAGUGGCGAAAGCGGCACCCUAGCGUUAGCCUGACGCUCAUGUGCGAAAGCGUGGGGAGCGAACGGG